AUGCACGCGGCGCAGGCGCUGGACGAGGCAGCACUGCUGCAGUACGCGGCCGCGCACGUCCCGGGGUUCCCCUCGUCCUCCACGAGCCUGGCCCUCAUGCAGUUCGGCCACGGCCAGUCUAACCCCACCUACUGCAUCGAGGCCUCCGCGCCCGGCGGGGAGGCCCGGUGCUACGUGCUGCGGAAGAAGCCCGUCGGUGCCAUCCUCCAGUCCUUCAGCCUUCCCUCCGCACGGCCUCCUCCAGCCGGACGCUUCCACCGGGGACAUGGGCCCGCGCCUCCUGCAGGUACAAAGCUUGCUGGCUGCCCCUUCUUGCCAAGCACACCGAGGAUACUGGACCCUAGCAGUGUCAAGUCCUCCAUUCAAGCAAAGUCCAAGGAUCAGUCCGAGAAAGUUUGGACUGAGAACCGUAAGCCGCCUGCAAAAUGA
rnacentral:rRNA from 1 species